AUAAACUCUCUCAACAUGCUUGAUGAUCUCUUGAUAAAACAAUAUUUGACCUGCUAAACAUACACAAAUCGAUUAAAAACCAAGUUAAUGUAUUUAUUUUUCAAAAUAUAAUUUCUUUUACUAUUUAAUGAAAUGAUAAGGAAUGAGGUUCUCUCAUACCCAUACCUACAAUAUAAUGCUGCCAUUGAGUCAAUUGAUUAUUCACAAUGAAAUGAUAUUCAUACAACCGCGAACCGCCAAAGCCUAACGAGCCAAGUACUUCCGCACUAUCUUCUUUAAAUGCCAUUUGUCAAAGUGGUUCCACAGCUCUCUUCGCCACGCUGACACCUGUAAUCCCAAGACUCCACCGUCACCAUGGUUGUUUGCCGCACCGAACCAGCGACUCCGUCCUUAAAGCACCCUGUGCGAUUCCCUCAGCAGCCACACUGCUCGAUUGCUUCCCUUUCUCACUUCUCACUAGUCAGUUCAACACCCAUUACGCUAAACAUCC
rnacentral:lncRNA from 1 species